GUGUCCAGCAACCAAAGGAGUUCAACAUGAAAGUCUUUACCAUCAACUUUUUCAAAUUACUCUUUAUUCUUCUUCUAUCAAUCGUUUUAGAACCCGAGGGCGAACUUCCAGAAUGUACUCGCUUUUCGGAGGAGAUAAAAAAUGUUAAACAGGAAAGAACACGGUCCUACUAUACAAAAAACAUUUCUUAAACUGCAUUUGGAAUCCCAAACUAAUAAAUGUCUUUGAUUUAAAUACACAACGUAAAACGACAUAAAAAUGUUAUAACAACAAGUUCACAUGAUUUAUUCGUUUUGAAACAAUUAAUAAAUUUUGCCCUGUUUCUGCGCUUUAUAGACCUGACUU
rnacentral:lncRNA from 1 species